GAUGAACGCUGGCGGCGUGCCUAAUACAUGCAAGUCGAGCGAACAGACGAGGAGCUUGCUCCUCUGACGUUAGCGGCGGACGGGUGAGUAACACGUGGAUAACCUUCCUCUUAUACUUGGAUAACUUCGGGAAACCGGAGCUAAUACCAGCUAAUAUGUUCUACCGCAUGGUUCAACAGUGAUUGACGGCUUUCCCGUCUCUUUUAGAUGGUUCCGCGUCGGAUUAGCUAGUUGGUAAGGUAACGGCUUACCAAGGCAACGAUGCGUAGCCGACCUGAGAGGGUGAUCGGCCACACUGGAACUGAGACACGGUCCAGACUCCUACGGGAGGCAGCAGUAGGGAAUCUUCCGCAAUGGGCGAAAGCCUGACGGAGCAACGCCGCGUGAGUGAAGAAGGUCUUCGGAUCGUAAAACUCUGUUAUUAGGGAAGAACAAAUGUGUAAGUAACUAUGCACGUCUUGACGGUACCUAAUCAGAAAGCCACGGCUAACUACGUG
rnacentral:rRNA from 1 species